AUCUAGUCAAGAUUUCAUCAUAAACAAUCACAGAAAUGGAUCAACGUUCAUUUAUUGAGAGCUUGUUCGAUACAGGAUGUGAGCCAUUGCCACAUCAUGGAGAAUCGCCUAGGACGCCGCAAAGUCAAUUGUCAAAUGAAUUUGCCGGUCUAAAUGACAUACCGAUACCUGAAGAUGUUCACAUUCACGGUCAGGGAAGCCACACUCCAAUUGAUUUGGAUGAUAUUAACGUUCCCGAAACGGAACAUGAAGAUGAAGAUCAGCAAUUAAAUAUCCCAGAUGCGAGGGGAAAGCGAAAGGCCAAAAAAAAAAGCAAAAUGUGAGGAUCACUUUAAGUUGAUUUCAACGGGAAAAGUCGUGAUGGCCUUACAGAAUCUAAAGAAGUAUGUAAAUACUGCCAACAAAGAUUGGCAUGACAAAAAGGAAUUGGUACCACUCAUCUCAACCGCCACUACAAAUCAUGUGCAGCCAGACAUGGACUUCUUCCAGCUGGUCAAACACAAUUACAAUUUGGCAAUCAAGGCGCCGGUUCUACAAUUUCACCCCUAUCCACGUGGGUGUAUUCGGAAGACGAGACUCGAUCCGGAAUGGUGAAAUUUGUUGCCGCCACUGAGUUGCCUCUAGCUAUUGUAGACAACCAACACUUUGUCUCGUUCGUGAAAGAAUAUCUACAAUCAAGGUACGUUGGGG
rnacentral:lncRNA from 1 species